rnacentral:rRNA from 1 species
AGUGAACGCUGGCGGUAGGCCUAACACAUGCAAGUCGAACGGCAGCACAGUAAGAGCUUGCUCUUACGGGUGGCGAGUGGCGGACGGGUGAGGAAUACAUCGGAAUCUACUUUUUCGUGGGGGAUAACGUAGGGAAACUUACGCUAAUACCGCAUACGACCUACGGGUGAAAGCAGGGGAUCUUCGGACCUUGCGCGAUUGAAUGAGCCGAUGUCGGAUUAGCUAGUUGGCGGGGUAAAGGCCACCAAGGCGACGAUCCGUAGCUGGUCUGAGAGGAUGAUCAGCCACCCUGGAACUGAGACACGGUCCAGACUCCUACGGGAGGCAGCAGUGGGGAAUAUUGGACAAUGGGCGCAAGCCUGAUCCAGCCAUACCGCGUGGGUGAAGAAGGCCUUCGGGUUGUAAAGCCCUUUUGUUGGGAAAGAAAAGCAGCAGGUUAAUACCCCGCUGUUCUGACGGUACCCAAAGAAUAAGCACCGGCUAACUUCGUG